rnacentral:rRNA from 1 species
GCCUUUCGAAAGAAAGAUUAAUACCCGAUGGCAUAAUAGAACCGCAUGGUUUGAUUAUUAAAGAAUUUCGGUUUAUCGAUGGGGAUGCGUUCCAUUAGGCAGUUGGUGGGGUAACGGCCCACCAAACCUUCGAUGGAUAGGGGUUCUGAGAGGAAGGUCCCCCCACAUUGGAACUGAGACACGGUCCAAACUCCUACGGGAGGCAGCAUG